GGCGUAAAGCGCAUGCAGGUGGCAGUGCAAGUAAGGUGUGAAAUCUCCCUGCUCAACGGGGAGGGUGCACUUUAGACUGCACAGCUCGAGGUCUGUAGAGGGGGGUAGAAUUUC
rnacentral:rRNA from 1 species